UCCAUCGAAUUAUUCACAUUUUCGUCACCGUUAUUCCCCUCCCUGAAAAGCAAGAGAAAAAGAGAAAACGACCAUAACCCUAGAUUGACAAUGGCCAGCGAAUCCCAUGACUCGCGUCGGAAGCACCGGCGGUCGUCAUCGUCGGAAGAUGAUGCCGAGAGGUCCUCCAAGCGCCACAAGCACCAUCAUCACCACCGCCACCGCCACCGCAGCAAGAAACGCGACGCUGAGGAUAUCAUUGCCGCUCCUCCUCCGCCAGUGACUAUUAGGAAUUCUCGGCCUGAUGACGAUGUGGAGGAGGGCGAGAUUCUUGAAGAUGAGGGCUUCGGUUUCGGUGGUGGCGAGCACGAGAUUGCGGAAAGGAAACCUCAGUCGGACGAUGAGUCAAGGGAAAUCGUGGCCGUUGGUGUUACUGCUCAAUCUGAUCAGCAAAAUUCGGGAAGUGCUGAGCAUGGCUCGUAUGAUGCUGAAGCAAGGAUACACGAGGGAGAGAUUCUAGGGAAAAAGGGUAGGAGUCUGAAGACAUUGCGAGAGGACAAGAGUAAGGAUGAUUUUUUGACGAAUUCAAAUUUAGAUAAGGAAGACAGAGCUUAUAGCCAGAGUGGGGUUGAUACUGGCAUCGAAAAUGAGCUUGGUUCUCCAAGGACUUUAAAUGUUGAGCCUCAAAAUGAAUUGGCUUAUAGAGUUACCCCAGAGGGUUAUGGCAAUGGGGAUUUGGGUUUCAAAGCCAUCAAAGACAACAAAAUGUGGCAGAGUGAAUCUUGGCCCUCUUCUAAAGGAAGUGGCAAGGAAAAGACACAUUAUGAUGAUGAGAAGGUUGAGGUUUAUGGAAGUAAGUUAAGCAACCAGGGAAAGUCGUCCUCUCAAAGCGCAGGGGACACUAGGAGUAGAUCUAGGUCAAUUGAUCAUGCUAGAGAGAGAUCACGUUCACUUAGCAUAAGAGAAGAGGAGGCCCAUUCAAAAAAGCAACAUUAUUAUGGUCGUGAUGCCUCAUUGUAUGCUGAUAGAAGCAAGUUUAUGUAUGACUCCGAUGAUGAAAGAAUGGUUCGACUACGUAAGGAUGGACGGCAUUAUCGUAGAGAUGUGGAAAGGGAACACAUUACUAGUUCCAACAAGUAUAUUGGAGAGGAAAGGCUUCAAAGUCAGAGUACAUGGGAGAGAGAGAGAAGCAAGGAUAGGGAGAUGGCUAGGGAGUUAAGGAAGGAAAAAGAAAGAAAUAGGGGUGUUGAGAUGGACAAGGCUCAAAGAAGGGAGAAAGAACGAGAAAGGAGCAGGGAGAGGGACAGGAAAAGGGGGAUGGAACGAUAUAGAAGCAAGGAAAGGGAGGUGGACAAGGAUAGACAGGAUAUGGAAAGAGAUAAGAUCAAGGACAAUCAGGUGGAUAGAGAUGGGGAAAGGGAGAAGGAAAGGGAUAGGAGCAGAGCUAGUGAAAGAGAGAGAGACAGGGACAGGGACAGGGAAAGGGAGAGGGACAGGGACAAAAUUUGGAGGGAGAGGGAGAGGGACAAAAUUUGGAGGGAGAGGGACAACGAGAGGGAGAAGCGGAAUGAUAGAAAUAGGAAUAGAGAUAGGGGCAUAAUGAUUGAUAGGGAAAAGUAUGAAUAUCUUGUGGAUGGAGAUAGACAUAAGAAUUCUAGACACUCGAGAUACGAUGGAAAAGAUUACCACCACGACAGAACACGAAAAACUGAUUCAGCAAAGGUUCCUUGUUCUAGGAGUGAUUUGUUGGAAGGAAAUAGAGAGAAACUCCAAAGGGAUGAUGAUGAACAGGGAGACUACGAAGAAGGGACUACAUUGCAGUUUGCCGAGCAAGAAGAGGAAGAUCUCAACAGAAUCAAGGAGGAGAGUAGAAGGCGAAGGCAAGCCAUAUUAGAAAAAUAUAAGAGUCAGCAAUUACAGCAACCAAAUCAGCCUCGAUCAGAAGAUACAGAGAAAGAUAAGGAGCCUGCACAUGAUUCUGACCAAUCCGUAGCAGCUAAUGAUGUCAUUACUGACACUGGUGAUGGUAGGAGUGAUGGUUUCGAUAUCUACGUUGCUGAACCAUCAUUUUCUGUGGGGAAAUCACCUCCACAAAAUGGACAUGCUGAUUUGGAGAAGACUUCCAGUGCUGGGGGGCUUGGGGAGGGUAGUCCAAAGAGUGAGAGGUCAGGUGACAAGUUUUGUGAUGAUAUUUUUGGUGAGACACCAACAGGAGUUCGCAGAUUGGACAAAGUAGAUGGAUUACGCUUUGAAAGGAGUGGUCUUAAUGACAACUGGGAUGAUGCAGAGGGUUAUUAUGGCUACCGGUUUGGUGAAAUACUUGAUGGACGAUAUGAAGUUAUUGCUGCUCAUGGGAAAGGUGUAUUUUCUACCGUAGUUCGUGCAAAGAAUCUUAAGGCUGGUAAUGGUGAACCGGAGGAAGUGGCUAUAAAAAUUAUACGAAGUAAUGACACAAUGUACAAGGCCGGUAUGGAGGAGCUGGUCAUAUUAAAGAAACUAGUAGGUGCAGAUCCAGAUGACAAGCGCCAUUGCGUUCGAUUUAUUUCGAGUUUCAAGUACCGCAAUCAUCUUUGUUUAGUUUUUGAAUCUCUUCAUAUGAAUCUGCGUGAGGUUUUAAAGAAGUUUGGACGCAAUAUUGGCCUUAAGCUAACUGCCGUGAGAGCAUAUGCAAAGCAACUUUUUAUUGCCCUGAAGCAUCUUAGAAAUUGUGGUGUUCUUCAUUGCGAUAUAAAGCCAGAUAACAUGCUGGUAAAUGAGGCGAAAAAUGUGUUGAAGCUCUGUGACUUUGGCAAUGCCAUGUUUGCUGGUAAAAAUGAAAUUACGCCAUACCUUGUAAGCCGCUUUUAUCGCGCCCCUGAAAUAAUUCUUGGCAUGCCUUAUGAUCAUCCAUUGGAUAUUUGGUCUGUGGGGUGCUGUUUGUACGAGGUUUAUACAGGAAAGGUUCUUUUUCCAGGCGCUACAAACAAUGACAUGUUACGCCUUCACAUGGAAUUAAAGGGCCCUUUCCCAAAGAAGAUGCUCCGCAAGGGGGCAUUUAGUGAUCAGCAUUUUGAUCAGGACCUGAGUUUUCAUGCUACAGAAGAGGACCCUGUCACGAAAAAGGCUAUAAAGCGGAUGAUUCUCAACAUAAAGCCAAAAGAUAUCUCUUCAAUCAUUACAGGCUCUCCUGGGGAGGAUCCAAAGAUGUUAGCCAAUUUUAAAGAUCUUCUAGAAAAAAUUUUUGUGUUAGAUCCUGACAAGAGGAUGACAGUGUCACAAGCAUUGUCCCAUCCAUUCAUCACGGGCAAGUGAACCAUGUUGCUGAUUGUAUGACUCCAGAAAUGCUGUCCACUAGAUAUUUGUACAUUAUGACCUACUUUAUUUUCAGUUUCUAAUUACUGGGCAUUAUCUGUCUUCUCUAUGAUGGCCCAAGAACUUUCAACACGGUUUUGGCGUUGAAGUCAAAAUGGGGUGAUGUUUGGUCUGGAGUUCUCUUUGCUGGCGGGUUCUUUCGUGGAUUGUACUGUUUCUAUCGAUGUCUGCCACUGCUUUGAAGCAACCCUUCAGUGCUUAGAUGCUUAAAAGGCACACAGGAGAAGAGCUUGCAUUGGAGGUCUACGGCCGCAGCCUUGAUGAAAAAAAUUUAUCGGAUGUGACCCCCAUGCUCCUGCAAUUAUUGUUUACUUAGGCGAAUUUUCAUCAUGAGGCUGCUGACAUCCAAAUUUGCUAUGGUAGUAGUCCUUUUAGGAAAGGUUCGGACUACCUUAACUCACAUUUCAAAUUUUCAGGCUCCGGUUCCUAUUAUCUUCCAAAAAGGUGCUACAUUAGUUUGGAUGUAUAUUGAGAGGACUAGUACACAUAAGCAUAAAACACAAUUAUCACAAGGAUCAAAGCAAAUUAGGUCUGAGUUCUGACUCUGGCAUAUAGCUGCCUGGACAUAUUCAGAUUUGUUAGGCAAUGGUUUGAGCCCGAGGCCUUUAGGUGACCUUUUUUCCAUAAUCUGAAAUGAUUUAUUUGCUUUU